GUCUACGGCCACGCCACCCUGAACAAGCCCGAUCCCGUCCGGUCUCGGAAGCUAAGCAGGGUCGGGCCUGGUUAGUACUUGGAUGGGAGACCGCCUAGGAAGACCAGGUGCUGUAGGCA
rnacentral:rRNA from 1 species